GACAGAGCCUCGAGCGUUAGGCGGAAUCACUGGGCUUAAAGCGUGUGUAGGCGGAUCGUUAAGUACCUUGUGAAAUCCCACCGGCUCAACCGUGGAACGGCUGGGUAUACUGGCGGUCUUGGGCCAUUCAGGGGCGACUGGAACAAGCGGUGGAGCGGUGAAAUGCGUAGAUAUCGCUUGGAACGCCGAAGGUGAAAACAGGUCGCUGGGGAUGUGCCGACGCUGAGACACGAAAGCCAGGGGAGCAAACGGG
rnacentral:rRNA from 1 species